GGGCCAGCCCCGCCGUCACAGCCGGCCCCGGAGCGCUCCGGGCUGCGGCACAGCGGCUGCGGAGCUGGGAAAGGCCGCGGGGCUGCCGGUGACAGCGACUGGAGCGGAUGAAUUCCUUCAUGGAAGGGACAGCAGCAGGAAUUUCCCCAUGGAAAGGGCGGUCAGGCUUUGGCACUGGCCUGCCCAGGAGGUCGGGGUGCCCAGUCCUGGAGGUGUCCCAGGAAUUCCUGGAUGUGGCACUCAGAGCUCUGGGUAGGGACAAGUGCCAGAAGGGACCGGACAAACACGGAGCAGAGCACCAGGUGUGACCGCAGCCCUGCGGGACCGGCUCGGGGACAGCUGCGGGUCCCAGAGUGCAGAAAUAGAGGAGCUGACAAACGCCAGGUGUGGAUGUGAGAGUCAGCACACUCCAGCAGGACUGGUAAAACCAAAGAUAAGCAAAAGGACAGAAAGAACGCACAGCUGGGGGAGGUGAAGAGGAAACCCAGCUCUGAGCUACUCCAGCAACCUCAGCAGCAUCCGAGUGUGGCUGUGAACAGGAACUUGGCACUGAACUGAGCCACCCUUCACCAAAGUGCCUGAUGUGUUACCAGGAAAUGGGACACAUGAAAAAUGCCUAGACAGGAAAAAAAAUAAAGGACUUAUUAUGCACAGACAACCAGACAAUAAUGAACUGUCUUCAGCCCGUAGUUCAGAAGUCAGAUCUUUGUUUUCCAAUUACUGUAACACAAACAGUAAAAUAAACCCAAACCAAGUAUCACAACUCAGUGGUCCAGCCUAACUUCUGGAUGCUGACUUUGGAUAAAAUCCUCUAGCCUGGACAGUCUUUCAGUUCCCUUCCUCAGUCUGCAGAAUUCAUGGAUCUUUUAAAUGUUAUUCAAACCAAGAAGGGAAUUCAUUAUUGAUUCUAAAAAGAGGAACAUUCUUUCUUGCAGACUGCACUAUCCACAUCCCAAGUUAACAUAAUUACACAAAAGCACUGUAACAGUUUACUUACUCUUUUGACUGUUGUGAGUAUCAAGUUUAGCUUUACAUUUCACACACCACCACAACUUUUUCUUCCUCUAUUGAUGUUGAAUAAUAUGGAACUUCAGGAACUUCAACCCAAUGGGUCUUUUCAGAGAGAAACACAAGUGAGACCAACCAAUGCUUCCAGUAUCAGAACAAAAAUAAUCAGAAAUGGGAAUUUCACAGCCUGGCCUCCCAAAGUUGCCUGCACUGAGCACAAGGUUUGAAGUCACUCUCCAGAUGAAGUGAUAUAAAGAAACCCAAAUGUUUCCCACAAUUAGGUAAUGAGGGUUCUUAGACAUUUCUAACAAUAAUAAAACCAGCUGUCCUACUACAGAUGAAUAUGCAAAAAAAGUGGUUUUCAACAACACUUUAUUGAAGCACUUCAAAAUUAUCACAAUGAUAGAUGUUGCCUUUAACAGAAUAAAACCUGUCAUGUCAUAAUUAAAAGGCACUAAUCCUGGCACAAAGGUCUACUUACCCACCUUCCACUGGGAGGGAAAUAAAAACAUCAAGUAUUUCACUUCUCCUUUUAAAGAGUAUGUGCAAAGCCCCUCUGAGUGCCAUUGGUGUUUGCCACUGGAGUGACAGGUGAGAGAACACCCCUCUGUUUCACCAGGACACGCUGUAACACCCAGCAGCUGCAGCCCUGAGCAGCAGAGCUCUCUCUGCAGGGUCCUGGUCUGGUGCCACAAACUGUUCUGCACUCACACUUUGGGAACUAAAGCCCUGAAGCUCAGGCACUCACACACUUUUCCUUGAACACGAUUCACUGUCUGUGUCAGCUUACAAACACAGCUAAAUAAACCUGCUGUGCAGCCCUUUCUGGGGUGCACUCCUCAGGGUCAGUGCAGGAGCAAGGCAGGGGAGCAGUGCUGGCAUGCUGGGGGAGCACAGAGCAAACCAGGACGUGCCAUUGCACAGCCAUGGCAACGACAAAGGGAACCUCAGGCAAGUUAAAAGCUUGGUAAUCCUGCUAAGCCAUACCUCAGGUUAUUACAGAUCCCUGCACAACAUUCUAGAUUCAACAGAGAGACUGUUUAAGGCAUUUUCUUUGGCCUUGUCUUCUACCAGAAAGUGAAGAUUAUGCAGUUUGAUGUGUCAGCACACAAAAUCUUUCCAACCUGUUUCCAUCACGAUGCAAAAACACAAAUCACUGAGAAACUGGAUUAUGGGUUCCAGGGAUCGUGGAACAGCUCCACAUUUGUGCAUCUUUCCUGAUGCCAAGUGGGACAGAGCUGCUCUGUGCAGCUGGCCCUGGGUGAUGGGAACUCCCCUGCUCUGUAAGGAACCUGAAGGAAUCACCAUCCACACUGAAGCUGCAAGGACAGGGACACUCCAAGGAAAACUCACAAGGACAAGCACAACAUUCCCCAUCUCAGCACUGCUGCUCCAGGACCAGUCACAGAGGCAGGACUGCUGCCCAGCCUCCAGCUAUUCCCCACCACAAGUUCUCUCUGGCUCAGUGUCUGCCUUUUCACAAGAGCUGCUUUUCUUAACAUGCCAGCAGUCAAGUCCUGCAUCAGAAGAGUUUCAGGGCUAUGGCUGUUGAUGUCAAAUGCACUAACUUACAAAACUAAAAUACAUCCCCAAAAGCAACUUUUGUGAAGAGAAUGGGAAAUUUAAUCAGCCUCUUUUACUGUGCAUGCUCACAACAAAGCCUCAGACAAGCAAUCAUGGUGAGAUUACAUUUCUACAACACAGCUACAGCAUCCAAGAUCAGCAACCACCACUGCUAAUGCCUGAACUCCACACCUUUAGUAGGCCACGAAAGAUUUAACCUUGGACAUGAAGUGUCAGAUGAGUACUGUUUUCAGUCCAAGGCUGAAAGGUGUGGAGAAGGAAACACUUCUGCACUUCCCUUGUUUCAAAGGAAAGGUACCAAAACCAGAACCAGACCAAGUGCAGCCCUGUGCACUGGAAUCAAACAGCCACUCUGAGGUCUCCUUCCUGCCACAGGAGUAACCAAGGGCAGCUGGCAGAGCAGCUGUGAAACAGCAUUUUGGGCAGUGCUGCAAAUGUACAUUUUAGAGCACACACGUCAUAGGGGGCCCUGUCUCUCCCUGCUAUUUACACCUAGAAACAAAACUGGCAGUGAAACACCACAUCAAGCAAAGAGCUGUGGGCCAGUUCCACACAGUUCACACCACAGCUGAUUUACUGAGUGACUGCUGCUGCUACCACACCAAGCAGGCUGGCAAGCUGAGUGCACUAACACUGUUUUCAGAUUUGGGUCUAGAGACAUUUUACUUGGACUGUGAACUGCAGGGAGCUUGUUCUGCAUGCAGGAAACUCCCAAAUGUGCACAGGAUCUUUAACAGUUCACUAGUCCUUCCCAGCUGAGGUGCACAUGAAGGAUGCUCAAAGACCUGCACUCAGGACUAAACACUAACCUGAUACAGCUCACAAGUCUGAAAGCUUACAUGGAGACAAGCCUGAAACAAGACAUCCAAUUUCUUACCAUUAAUUGGAAGAUGCUGAUAGACAGUCCUACAAAUUAAUCAGUGUCCUAAGAGAAAUUAAUACAACAAAAACCUUUGGGAAGAACAGUCAGUGAAACUUCGAAUUAAAAUCACAGCAAAGAUUUCGUUCAAGACCUCAGUCAACAAAAGCCUCACUUUUCCACUGAGAUAAGAAUUUUUCUGCUUUAAUUGGCAGAGAAUGAUCAGGCACUGCAAGAUCUGACACUUGUGCUAGAAAAACAAAGGUUUUACUCUAGGCUUGACACAAGAACCAAGCUUGCAGACACAUGCAUUUCUCUGCUGAGAACAGCUCCAGAAGGCUGCCCCUACUUCAGACCCUGCAGCUGACCCGUGCUUUUCACACACACAAAAAAGCCCUGAAAUCUGCUCAGACUACCUGAGUUUGCUGAGGUAAGGUGAGCAAGCCCCAGGCCUCAAAGGUAGUUUUGUGAGCAUUUCACUGGAAUAGUUGAACCACAGAAUAUAAAGCAGCUCAGGUAUUUAUCAAUCUUUCCCCCACUGUAAUCUUUGGCAGAGCAGACAGACAUCCCAUUGUGUUUUUCCAUGAGUUCAGCCACAUCAACUCAAGUCAGGCAGUUAAGUGUCAAUACAACCCUCAAAACAUAAGUUUAUUGAAUAAAGCUGAAGAGCAGUAAACCAACAUAUGCAUCCACCUAAAUAAAAAAAUUCACGUAUUUACAAAGUUCAGUAAUUGUAUAAGUUGUUCACAUGCAGAGAGUAAUGCACAGGUUAACAAUUGGUAGUGUUUGGAUGCCAGAAACGCUGAAAGCAGUGAAGUAGAUAAACACCAAACACAUCAAGUUUAGCUAUAGGCCAGUUAACUAAACAGUGACCUGGUCCCCCACAAAGAUUCACACAUUCUAGUUUAGUUUCCUUAUUAUAGGCACAAGCAAAUUUGCUAAAUAAAAGUAACUGUAGCAGUUCUGGUGAACUCAGGACUACAGCAGCAAGUUAAUACACCCUCUCCUCUACAGCACCAGAGUAUGGAUUAUUGAAUCAUGCUUCAGAGAACUGAAAGGGGACAAAAA